UAAAACUUACAAAAUUAGGUAGUAAAUGAUUUUUUUGAAACCUAAAGAUUUUGGCGGUAUUUUAAAUAAUUAGAGGAACCUGUUAUAUAAUUGAUAACCCACAACAUAUCUUACCAAAUUACAGUUUGUAUACCAUCGUUAAAAGACAAUAUUUAAAAAUAAUUGUCAAGAUUAAAUAUUUUUCAAAAAUCAGAUCAAGGCGCAGCUUAACUUGGAAAUAAUGGGUUACAAUAUAAAUUAUAUACUACGGAAUAAAGAUGAAAUAUUAAAUGAAGGAGGAUUUAAAAGUAAAAAAAAAUUAAAAUGUUUUUUUGAUUAAAAAUUUUAAAAUAUGU
rnacentral:rRNA from 1 species